UACGGGGGGGGCAAGCGUUGUUCGGAAUUACUGGGCGUAAAGGGCUCGUAGGUGGCCAACUAAGUCAGACGUGAAAUCCCUCGGCUUAACCGGGGAACUGCGUCUGAUACUGGAUGGCUUGAGUUCGGGAGAGGGAUGCGGAAUUCCAGGUGUAGCGGUGAAAUGCGUAGAUAUCUGGAGGAACACCGGUGGCGAAGGCGGCAUCCUGGACCAGCACUGACACUGAGGAGCGAAAGCCAGGGGAGCAAACGGG
rnacentral:rRNA from 1 species